rnacentral:tRNA from 1 species
GGUGAGGUGGCCGAGUGGUCGAAGGCGCACGCCUGGAAAGUGUGUAAGCGGAAACGCUUCGAGGGUUCGAAUCCCUCCCUCACCGCCA